GAAGGAUGGAGAGAGAGUGGACAAAGAGAGGGACCUGGAAGAACCAGGGAAGGACAAUCUCUGUUCGGAGUCAUCAUCACUGACAGGAGUCGCACAACAGCCAUUUUCAGCAGUCUUAUCCAUGAGGCAUGGUGGGAAAUGCCAGCCAAUGACAUUCAGCUCAGUAAAGGGUACAUCAGUCCAUCUGCUUUGCAGUUCGCAGCUGUCUGACCACUUACCAAACCCUGUCUGGGCAUCAUUACCGUAUGUUCGCCGUCCUUCCGACAACUGGACCCUAUGUGAGACAAAUACAAAGGGAGCCCUGAGGUCAUCCAGGAUGGGAAGUACUAGAGAGAAAAAGGACAAAACUACUGUUACGUUACUGUGUGCCACGCUCACUGCUACUGCACUACUGUGGCAAUGUGUCCUUGCGUUCCAUAUCAUCAUCAAUACAUACAGCAUGACAUUUAAGCCAUGACCAAAGGCUUUUCAUAAUUCCAUGUCUUUUUUUCCCUUCACAGAUAUCAAAUGCCAUGAUCAUGCAAAUGGGACACACGCAUCCUUCUUAAAGUUUGCAGAUAUCCGGUUGCCAAUUAGCAAAUGGUAAAAUCUAACCCACACACCCGGCCACAGCAAAGGUAUUCAGCAGAAGUGAAUCUCCAAUCAGCAAAGUGCCAGGGUACACCACAGUGUUUUACAUUAACAAGAAGAACUAAAGCAAUGUGUAAGUAAGGGAAGACAUAAAUCAUUUAAAUCACCUGUCUUGAAACCUUGAAGGAAUUUAUGGCCGAGUGUGGAAUGGGAAGAUGGGGGCGAUGGUGUGGCAGUGGGGCUGUCUGAGUGAGCUUUACAAGCCUCUCAAUAAACAUAUGAAUAAUUUUGGGGGAGUCGUUAGAAGCCGUCUGUUCUCUUGAUCUUAAAUCGAUGCAUUGAGGAUGAAUUAAAUGUCGCAGAGAGGGGAAUGAGUAAGAGGAGAAGGAAGUAGCUGAACUGAGGCCAUAUUACAAGGUGAUUAAAACAAGUGUCUCUGUGAAUUGCUACACUGGGAGGCUGGCGAACAAUGAGGAACAGGGGUGUAAAAGAAAAAGGCAGGAGGCUAUCUUUUAGCCCUGAUUUGUUGAGGAAGCUCUUUUUUCAGAUUUCAGCUAUUACAUUUUUGUAUUUGCAAAGAGGUAAAAAGUGUUCUACAUGCUGGUGGACACAUGCGUCAGCACAGGCGGGACUCUAACUGCUUCCUUUGAACAUAAUACUCAAAUACUAUUAAGGUGUUUAUCCAAAUGUUCCAACCCCUUGACAAAUAGUACACACAGCUUAAUGAUGAGUGAAGUGAGUAUUAAUGUUAAACUGUGCCCAGUUUCUGCCACCCCCAUGAGGAAUUCUAAGUAAUGACAACAAAACUGUUGGCGCGUCCACUGGAUACAAGC